AUGGGGGUACAGAACAUUCUGCUCCCAAGGCAUGAGAAGAGAACAUCAUAUAUUGGCCACUACUGCCCAAUGUGGAGGGGAGCAGAAACUCCAGAGCCCACCCCUGAAGUGCAUGUCCAGGCCAAGACCUCUGAUCUAAGGACAGAAAACAGGCUGCUGGGUACUCCUCAUUCCCGGCCAAGCAGAGUUUUGGAAGCAAACUCCCUCUCUGAAUCCCUCCUGCCCUUCCUGAUGGCAUGAGGACCACCCCCCAAUACUUCUAGGAGUCCUAUGGCUUUGCCUCCUCUUGGAGGGUGGAAUCCAGGAGAUGAUCUAGAUGAGGAAGUUACAAGAAAAAGGGGCCCUGUGCUUGCCUCUCCAUUUCCCCAAGGUGUAGCUGUUGCAGCUGUUACUGUGGCUUACAGUCACUCUCUCCCUGUAGAGUGAAGGGUGAAGGGUGAACCUAGCUGCAGCCAACCUUAGAAAAAGCUGCAGAGCCUGCCCACAAAAGAAGGAAGCUGACAUCUGCAGGCCAGUUUUCCAGGCCUCCCCUUCUUCCCUCUGCUACUCCCUUAGUAGGCCUUCAGGAAACUGAAAAUAACACGCAGUUUGAGGCUGUGGACCCUGGCGUGGGAGUGGCACACGUCCCUGCCAGCCUGGCCCCCAGCCUGCGUCCCGAGGGCGUCCCCAGCCCAGCCCUCACCAUGUUCGCUGCAUCAGAGGCGGUGGCGGUGGCCACGGCGGCAGCAGGAAGGCCUUACGUGUGCAGCGAGUGUGGCAAGAGCUUCAGCUACAGUUCGGUGCU
rnacentral:lncRNA from 1 species